rnacentral:rRNA from 1 species
UACAGAGGAUGCAAGCGUUAUCCGGAAUUACUGGGCGUAAAGCGUGCGUAGGCGGUUAUUUAAGUCUGUUGUGAAAUCCCCGGGCUCAACCUGGGAAUGGCAAUGGAUACUGGAUAGCUAGAGUGUGAUAGAGGAUGGUGGAAUUCCCGGUGUAGCGGUGAAAUGCGUAGAGAUCGGGAGGAACAUCAGUGGCGAAGGCGGCCAUCUGGAUCAACACUGACGCUGAGGCACGAAAGCGUGGGGAGCAAACAGG